rnacentral:lncRNA from 1 species
GUUUGCUUCCCCAUUGGAGAGCGUUUGGCUGUUCCCAGUUUUGGGCAAUCAAACUACAGUGAAGUCUCUUGUCAAGAUUCCCCUGCUUCCUCCACCUCUGCCUCCUGACGGUCCCAGAUGCUUCCAGGUGUGGGCCCCAUGCGAUGGCAUGCCCCUCCCCUUGGAGACUGUGAGUAACAAUCUAUCAGGUUAAUGACAGUCACCUCCUGAUCUUUUGGCCUCACCGUAAUUAAAUA